CCGUAGGUGAACCUGCGGAAGGAUCAUUACUGAACUUAAGUAA
rnacentral:rRNA from 1 species